rnacentral:miRNA from 1 species
UGAUGCCUGAUAACUAUUCUCC